GGUUCCAUAGUGUAGCGGUUAGCAUGUCUGCUUUAUAUGCAGAAGGUCCUGGGUUCACACCCCAGUGGAGCCA
rnacentral:tRNA from 1 species